AUUUCGGGGUUAGUAGGUUGGUCAUGCCUCUGGUAUGUACUGGUCUCACUGAUUCCUCCUUCCUGAUGAGCCGUAAUGCCAUUAAUUUGGUGUUGCGGGGAAUUUGGACUGUUACUUUGAAAAAAUUAGAGUGUUUAAAGCAAGCUAACGCUUGAAUACAUUAGCAUGGAAUAAUGAAAUAGGACGUUCGAUCCUAUUUUGUUGGUUUCUAGGAUUGACGUAAUGAUUAAUAGGGAUAGUUGGGGGCAUUAGUAUUCAAUUGUCAGAGGUGAAAUUCUUGGAUUUAUUGAAGACUAACUACUGCGAAAGCAUUUGCCAAGGAUGUUUUCAUUAAUCAAGAACGAAAGUUAGGGGAUCGAAGACGAUCAGAUACCGUCGUAGUCUUAACCAUAAACUAUGCC
rnacentral:rRNA from 1 species